UACGUAGGUGGCAAGCGUUGUCCGGAUUUACUGGGCGUAAAGAGCGCGCAGGCGGUCGAGUAAGUCGAAUGUGAAAGCCCCCGGCUUAACUGGGGAGGGUCAUUCGAUACUGUUCGACUUGAAGGCAGGAGAGGGCAGCAGAAUUCUCGGUGUAGCGGUGAAAUGCGUAGAUAUCGAGAGGAACACCUGCGGCGAAGGCGGGUUGCUGGGCUGACACUGACGCUGAGGCGCGAAAGCUAGGGGAGCGAACGGG
rnacentral:rRNA from 1 species